UCCCUGAUAGCUCAGACAGUAAAGAAUCUGCCUGCAAUGCAGGAGAUCCAGGUUCGAUCUCUGGGUCAGGAAG
rfam:TPA: Bos taurus chromosome 7, whole genome shotgun sequence.